GGUAUCUGCCAUACUACCCUGAGCAUGCCCAGUCUCACCUGAUCUUGGAAACUAAGAAGGGAUGGGUCAGGUUAGUACUCAGAAGGUGUCCUGAGAAUACGGGGUACUUACUA
rnacentral:rRNA from 1 species